rnacentral:rRNA from 1 species
CCUACGGGGGGCUGCAGUGAGGAAUAUUGGUCAAUGGCCGGAAGGCUGAACCAGCCAAGCCGCGUGAAGGACGAAGGUGCCAAGCAUUGUAAACUUCUUUUGUCAAGGGACAAAAUCAGGCUCGAGAGCCUGACCGAGGGUACUUGAAGAAAAAGCAUCGGCUAACUCCGUGCCAGCGGCCGCGGUAAUACGGGGGAUGCGAGCGUUAUCCGGAUUUCUGGGGUUUAAAGGGUGCGAAGGCGGACUGUUAAGUCAGCGGUAAAAGCCCGGGGCUAAACCCCGGCGAGCCGUUGAAACUGGCUGUCUUGAGUGGGCGAGAAGUAUGCGGAAUGCGUGGUGUAGCGGUGAAAUGCAUAGAUAUCACGCAGAACUCCGAUUGCGAAGGCAGCAUACCGGCGCCCGACUGACGCUGAGGCACGAAAGCGUGGGUAUCGAACAGGAUUAGAUACCCCUGUAGUC